rnacentral:lncRNA from 1 species
AGAAGCUUGACAUGGGAUUUUGUUCUCUAUUUAACUGUGGUCUAAAAUGGGGAAGUUACUUUAAAAACAUAAUUUUCUUUCAUGCAAAGUAUGUUUUGUAUUCAACCCAUCCUAAACAGUGCAAUAACAACUGAGGAAUAAACUGAAAAGAAGCUCACAAAGACCAGAUUUUUACAACACAAGGAACUUGGACCAGGAGCCCCUUCUCCAUUCUUCGAGUCCUUUAUCAGAAGGAAAAAAAAUACCAAAGAUCAGCCCAGCAUCCACCUCGUGUAUUCACGUGGGGGCUUUGGCAAGGUAUUUGAGUCUCUUCCGCUGGGUGUUUGUCUGUUUUCAUUAAAGGCUGGGCUGCCAACAUUCCUGCUAUGCCUCACAGACCCCAAACUGUGCUGAGGAUGCAACAAGUUUUGGUGGUACCUGCAGCUCAACCUACACUAUUCCAGUUACAGUCCAA